rnacentral:rRNA from 1 species
UACGUAGGGCGCAAGCGUUGUCCGGAAUUAUUGGGCGUAAAGAGCUCGUAGGUGGUUUGUUACGUCUGCUGUGAAAACCUAGGGCUUAACCCUGGGCCUGCAGUGGAUACGGGCAGACUAGAGGUAGGUAGGGGAGAAUGGAAUUCCCGGUGUAGCGGUGAAAUGCGCAGAUAUCAGGAGGAACACCGAUGGCGAAGGCAGGUCUCUGGGCCACUACUGACGCUGAGAAGCGAAAGCAUGGGGAGCGAACAGG